rnacentral:lncRNA from 1 species
GCUCCUUAGUUUAAAACUGUUGAAUAAAGAUACCCACAGCCUAUAGCUGGGCAGAAGAGAGGUAGGUGGAGCUUCCGUUGGGUCCUAAAGAGGACCACAAGGGAGAAAAGAAGGGGGAGAGAAGAGAAGAUGCCAUGGGGUAGAACCUGUCACUGAAUCAGGGUUCAUCAAUUUGAUCAGGCGAGCUGGACAGCGAGCACCAAGGACCACCACCUGCUUCCCUAGAUGGCGUCCUAUGAGGGUGCUGUGUUCCCAAACUCAGGUUCCCAUGUCUGCACAGCAGCUUCCACAGAUGGGUGGAUGGAGAGGCCUCAGGAUCAGAGAUGAGAGAACAGAAGUCAUCAUUACAGAUUUCUCCAAGCAACCGGGCCACGGUGAAUAAUUUAUGUACAAGGUGGAGAAGACAAUAAAUCA